AGUCGUGAGGAAGGCGGCGUCGUUAAAAAAGGCGUUGUUUGACGUUAGCGACAGAAGAAGCACCGGCUAACUCCGUGCCAGCAGCCGCGGUAAUACGGAGGGUGCGAGCGUUAAUCGGAAUUACUGGGCGUAAAGCGCAUGCAGGUGGUUUGUUAAGUCAGAUGUGAAAGCCCGGGGCUCAACCUCGGAAUAGCAUUUGAACCCCGCAGACUAGAGUACUGUAGAGUCAGGUAGAAUUUCAGGUGUAGCGGUGAAAUGCGUAGAGAUCUGAAGGAAUACCGGUGGCGAAGGCGGCCCCCUGGACAGAUACUGACACUCAGAUGCGAAAGCGUGGGGAGCAAACAGGAUUAGAUACCCUGGUAGUCCACGCCGUAAACGAUGUCUACUUGGAGGUUGUGGCCUUGAGCCGUGGCUUUCGGAGCUAACGCGUUAAGUAGACCGCCUGGGGAGUACGGUCGCAAGAUUACGUCUCAAAUGAAUUUUUGGGGGCCCGCACAAGCGGUGGAGCAUGUGGUUUAAUUCGAUGCAACGCGAAGAACCUUACCUACUCUUGACAUCCAGAGAACUUUCCAGAGAUGGAUUGGUGCCUUCGGGAACUCUGAGACAGGUGCGGGGUGGCUGUCGUCAGCUCGUGUUGUGAAAUGUUGGGUUAAGUC
rnacentral:rRNA from 1 species